CCCGAUCCCGUCUAGUCUAAGAAGCUAAGCAGGGUCGGGCCUGGUUAGUACUUGGAUGGGAGACCACCUAGGAAGAGCAGGUGCUUUAGGCG
rnacentral:rRNA from 1 species